GCCGGGCGUGGUGGCGCACGCCUUUAAUCCCAGCCCUCGGGAGGCAGAGGUAGGAGGAUCUCCAUGAGUUCGAGGCCACCCUGAGACUCCAUAGUGAAUUCCAGGUCAGCCUGGGCCAGAGUGAGACCCUACCUCGAAAAAAAAAAAAUGUAGUUUUUGAGGUAGGGUCUUGCUCUAGCCCAGGCUGACUUGGAAUUCACUGUUGUUUCAGAGUGGCCUUGAACGCGUGGCAAUCCUCCUACCUCU
rnacentral:sRNA from 1 species